UACGUAGGUGGCAAGCGUUGUCCGGAUUUACUGGGCGUAAAGGGCGCGUAGGCGGCCAACUAAGUCAGACGUGAAAUCCCUCGGCUCAACCGGGGAACUGCGUCUGAUACUGGAUGGCUUGAAUUCGGGAGAGGGAUGCGGAAUUCCAGGUGUAGCGGUGAAAUGCGUAGAUAUCUGGAGGAACACCGGUGGCGAAGGCGGCAUCCUGGACCGGCAUUGACGCUGAUGAGCGAAAGCUAGGGGAGCAAACGGG
rnacentral:rRNA from 1 species